CUCUCUCUCUCUCUCUCUCUCAAAAAUAAAUAGACAUUAAAAAAAACACAGUUCUUCCCUUUUACAAAUAUUUAUAUAUCACUAAAUCAGAAAAUGCUACACCCUCAGGCAUGCUCCCAGCAAACGAGGCUUUGGCAGAUUGUUGACACCAGUUUGCAAAGAAAUGUCUACACUGUGAGUAAAUCACUAACUUUUCCAUCUUCUUGAUGCUUCCACAAUUCAAGAAAUGUUAAAAUGUUUACUAUCUUUUCUGUCUUUAAUUUCUAUCGACGAGAAAAAGAUGAAACACGAAGGACUAGAGUUCCACGGCUGACCAAGGUUGGCAAGGUCACGGAGGAAACCUAGAACGCACGCGCGCCCCCGAGAUCUGGGGCCACAGGUGCGCCAAGGUCCCGACGAUCAGGCCUCCGCCAGCUGCUUCAGCUCAGCGAACACGUUUGGAGCCAGAGAAAACCACACACACAGAAGAAGCCUAGACUCAAGGACAAGACGGUCACAACAAGCACACGCACCAAAAGCUACUUUUUACUGAAAGGAACCAAGGCUCUUAGAAGGAACGCCGUUCUGAGGCAGGCACAGUACAAGACGAUCCUGAGACAUCGGUGUUGUGGUCCAAAAUAAGGACGUUGCCAAGACCAAGGGGGCUGUGUCCGGGGGCCGGUCUGGAGGAGACCCCGCCAUUGGAACAAAGCAGGUGCUUGAACUGCUGUAUGUGUGUGAUGACAGGAAAACGGAAGAAAGUCUUACUGGUCUCCUCGUAGGUUCCCAAUUAUUCUGAAAAUUUAUAAAGAGAAAAGUGUCAUGUAUAUUUCAAAAAUACAACUUUCAAAUAUACUUUCCUCUACACACUGUAUUUCGGGUUAGAAAGUAGCAACAGAGGAAUUACAGCUGAUCAGUGCAGAACAACAAAAUCAAAAUGGACAGCCAUCGUUUGCAACCACUAAUGAACACAUGAGUACUGUGGGAACCUGAGCCGGCCGGACAUGUGGCCUGGGGAGAGAAAGACAGACGAAAGUGUCAUAUGCUGAGAGAGCUUAAGAGACUAACAGCCAGAUGCGCCAUGGAGACCUUGAGUGGAGCCUAUUGGAACAAAAACAACUGUAGCAGCCCGCUGGCAGACACCUGAAGCACGCAGAGUGAGGCCUUCUUCAGGCAGCUCCUGGCUGCCCUACUCCCUUGGUGUUUGCGUUUUAUUAAAGACUGAAAAUAACUUUACCUCAAGGUCCUGAAAGCCUUGCUUCCAGAUUCCUUAGAAACUUACUUUAUCUCUAUCGCCCUCCCUCCACAAACCUAAAGGUGUAUAAUCAGUCCCCCCUCACAACCCCGGGGCAGCUCUUUCUGCCCCCGGGUCCCGUCCCCGUGCUUUAGUAAAACCACCUUUUCGCACCGAAGACAUCUCAAGAAUUCUUUCUUAGCCGUUUGCUCAAGAACCCCAUCAGGGGGGAACAGAGAGAACAAAACUGGCUCAAUGUGAUAUGGGAGGCUGGUGACAGAGCCUCGGGGACUGUUGUGUGCCUACCGCUACCGUUGUGUGUGUUUGGAAAUCUCUGCGACGGAAAGCUUGAAGAGAGAACACACAAUUGAAUUUGGCCCUCUCAGCCAAAAAGGAUGAAAGGAAGAAAGAAAAGAAGGGAAGAAAGGGAAAGAGGAGAGAGUGCCUGAGUGCGCACAGGGUGACCCAGAGGGCUCGCCUCUCCCGGCGUGCAGAGUCCGCGGGAAUGACACCGCCAGGCAGGAGGGGCCGCGGCCAGGCCAGUAGCAUGACCAAAUCUUGCCCCUUCUGCCGCCUUUGUGCAGUCCCCACAUCAGUCAUCCGGGACUGGUUCCUCGCCUCCGGCUGUGUUACUGAGGUGUGUUUCUCAUUGCGAAAUCCAGCUGGAGAAACCCGUCUUCCAGAGACCUGUACACUUUAUGAGCCCCGCACUGGUGGGUGAUGCUCUUUGCCAAGACUUACAGUCAAUUCCAGGGCUCUCGGGGGAAAUCUGAACCCCUUACAAGAGGAGGAAUGUUUGUCCAGUUUCCUUCGGUUGAUCCCGUUCGGAUUCACUAGCCAUCAGCCUAAAAUCAGGGCUGGGAUGUGGAUUCUCACGGGUUCUGGGGAGGGUCACGAACCUGAAAUCACUUCCAUUCCAGAAGCACCCAUCCACAGCAUGACCGAAAAAGCUGAUGGGGACGUGAGUUUGCCUUUCGUCUUCUCUCUUCCUCUCCUUUCCUGCAGGUGCAGGAUGUCUGGAGAAGUGGGAGAUGGGAGCUGGGAAUGUACAGAUAUGGGUGCGGGACAGCCACGGUGUUGUCUACACAGGGUGCCAUCACCCUAGAGACCUCUGGGACCCACGGGACUUUAGGAGAGCCUUUUCUUCCCCUCCACGGCCCCAGUGCCUCUCCCGUUCUCAAUUUCACUGGGAAACAUAUCCCCGAAAGCACAGACUAACCUGAGAAGAUUCUCUGCUGGUUUACUUUUAUUAUUAACCCUUUUAUGAGAACUUUUAAGAUCUACUCUUGUGGCAACUUUUAAACGUACAGCACAGUUAUUAUUAACUACCGUCAAUCACCAUGCUGCCUGCCACACCCAGGACCUACUCAUUUCAUAACUGGAAGUGUGUGCCUUUCAACCCCUUCACUGAUUCCACCCGCCCCCACUCCUCCGUGUCUACGGGUCUGCUUUUUGUUUUGUGUGGCCGCACACCAAAGAAGUUCUCAGAUACUGGAUGGAGCGGACGUGCGGGCAUGCUUCCACCAGUGAAACAGCUGCAGCAGCAAACUGCACAGUCUUUAUUUCAUAUUUUCUUAGAUAUGAGUAUCAAAGGAUAUCAAAGCAUGGGUAGGGAACACAAAGGAUCUUUAGACAUUAACCAGACAUGCACCUGCUGGCUACGUGAAGGGAGUACGUGUAGUUUCAAGGAGUGUCAGGGGGUCACAGCGGAUUUUGUAUCUAAUUGUCCUCUGCGGUGUCACGGGGCUCUGUUCUCAGAGUGCUAUCGCGCUCGACAGCCUUGGGACCAGAACAUCGCUGACGUUUCAGCUGUCACCCCGUUCACCCUCCGGGACUUACAAUACCCUCUCUAGCAAUGACUCCACAGUUUUAUCGUUGCUGGUGUUUUAGAUCCCACAACUGGCGAAUAUGAUCAAGGGGAGAGGGGCACACGCAUCUGGACUCCAUCCACAAAAGUCUGACUAAGACAUUUGAGGCUGAUAAUGGUCCUUGCCUGGCGUGGGCGUCGAGAUGACGACUGUGGACCUGGCUCUCGGCCACGGCUCCUGGAAUAGACCCGGCCUGUACCCUCACCGACACACCUUCUGCAAUCACAUGAACCCUCCUCCCGGACCCUCACCAGACCCUCCUCCUGGACCCUCCACGGACCCUGGUACCACAUGAAAAAAUAGUUCCUGAUGACGUGAUUCUCCUGCUGGUGAAUAAUCUCUCCUGACAGAAAUGGCACACUGGGUGACUUGGGGAGCUGCCACUCUACUGGCCGCAAGCGGCAAAGAGAGGAGAGCAUGAGUGGGAGAGGAGCAGAAGGCGAAAGAGAAUCUUCAGGAGGCUUCAUGUCCAGCAAGGAGCCUACCCAACACAGGGCUCGAUCUCACGACCUGGGAUCAUGACCUGAGCUACAAUCAAGACUUGAACACUCAGCCGACUGAGCUUCCCAGAAGUGCCAUGGUGACGUUCCAGCUCACGGAGGAGGCUCAGUGUAGCACCCACACCCAAGACGUAAAAUAAGUCAUGUCCUGGGCAGGACCAUCCUCAUGCCCAACAUGAGAGAGAAGCAACAUGGUGUGACUUCCUCUCCUUCCUCUCUUCUCCCACUCUCCCACCUUCCUCACCCCUCCUCAAAGGAAAAUUAUGCAGAAGGAGACCGUAGGCAAAGUGAGUCAGCACUGCCGCAGAGGGAGGGAGCCCUGCUCGGUAAGACCCCUGGGAGGAAAGCACAGCCUUGCUGUGGGUCUUAUCAAGGAGGACCCUGAUUCUCACAAACUACCAGUCCAAAGAAGCAACAGGAAACAAGAACAGAGCUGUGGGCGCCAUGCUGUGGUAACAGAAGAAGGCAGUUUCUCUGGAGCCACGCUGCCCUCUGUGGGGCCGAGGCAACCAGCGGAACCACAAGCAAAGAUUCGCCAGUAGGAACUUGUGUGCGGGGCUGCUGUUGGUGAGAUGACGUAAGUUAUAAUGAUGUUGCUAAGCUUUUUUACAAUGUGUGCAAAAUUGGGAAAAAUGAUGGGCACACGUUGGAAAUGUUGUGGAUCUGGUUCCAGUCCAUUGGGGUAAAGUGAAUAUUGAAAUAAAGAGAGUCAAGUGAACUUUUUGCUUUCCUGGUGCACAUAAAGUUAUGUUUACACCGUACUGUAGUCUGUGAAAUGGGCAAUAGCAUUAUGUCUAACGACACAGUGUUCGUAGCUUAAUUUAA